ensembl:lncRNA
GCCCAGGGAAGCAUGAAAGCUGGGCCGCUGAAAAGAAGAUCCAGAGCAGACCAACUGUUGGCAACUCAACCUUGAAAGAUGAAGACAUGAUGAGUCAGCAGAGAGCCUGAUUAAACAACUCUCCUCUCAUAACUCCAGGAACAGAGCGGACAAGUGGGACACACGAUUGUGACCAGGAAACAUUGGGAUCUUUUAUCUCCUCGUGGCAAACCAACAUUCUUCACGCCCCUGGAAGCUCUCUGAUGACUCCGGCUAUCAGCGUCCACGUGGUUAGGAGAUGUUGGCAUCGUCUGAUGGUAUGAGGUCCCUUUGCUGAAUCCUGAACCAAGUGAAAGAAUGUAUUCUUUCUAACUGAAUGUCAUGUGGUUUAAUUCACAACACAAUUGAGCGGUAUAAAUAGUAGUUCAAAUCAGAUCUUUAGCCUUGAUUGGGCUGCGAAACAGCUAGAAGGCUGAAGAGGACUGUUGGCUGCACACACACGGGGACACACCCGCCUCACUUGUUGAACCAUCAACCCGUACUGGUGAACGGCUCCCCGCUGCCUCUAUGAUCCAAGCUCCCCAGGCUCUACUAAUCAUUUUAUUGUAAUUUUUUUUUUUUUUGUAAAAGCGAACGUAGGUGAGCAUAAAAGUGAGCGUAGGAGCAAGUCAUGAAAGAUUUAACCGUAACAGAAGGCAGACACACUCUGACUUCCGUUUCACUGAAGUGGCCCGUCUCUGAGAUUAGAAGCGCUUUGAAAAGAAGAAGCAACACUUUCUUCCUCAUCGUGUAACAUGCUUCCCAUGGCCACAGUGGCCGCUGCUCCAACAGAGACAAAGGGGAGGCCAGAGUGUUUCCUCAAUUUCUGGAAAGUUCAAAUUGGGGCUUUUUUCUAAAUUCUGCAAUUUCUCUAUGUGUGUGGUCCAGAGAGUGAGGACUCGCAUGUAGAAAUAGAUUAACAAGAAGAGUGGUCAAUGUGGUCGGAGUACAGAGGAAUCAGGAAUGAGCCCACAAGACCAAACUUUCCAUUUGCUUCCUUUUUUAAGGUAUUGCCAGACACUACAGAAUUAAAGUGUGUGUGUAUUGGGGGGGGGGCUGAAACGUCACCAGAAUGAGAACUUUCUUGUUUUCCUCCUCUCGGGUAUACUUCCACUGACCUUCACAGCCACAAGCCACCAGUGUAUUCAAUGACAUUUACCCUCUGCUCUUUUGCUCUUUUCCCCCGAGGUAUCAGUCACAGAAAUUCUCUUAAUUCUUGUUUGAGGCGCUGCAUCUCCCUCUCAUAACAAAACCAGAACUUAGCAUUGAACAUUUGGUCAUAUGGUGCGAAAGUGUUUGAUUUCACUGAUGUGAAGGAGUUUUGGCUUGCUUUGCAAAUUUGAAAUCGCUGGCUGGUCUUGGUUCGGGAGCAGGCCGGUGCUACGGUUUCACAUUUGAGUUCAUUAGGUUGUUUGAGCGUUACCACGCUGUUAGGGUCUUUCCCCGAAUGAAGUCACAUUGACCGCACUGUAUACAAUAACCACAGGUAGCAUCUGCUUGGACUCGGGUUUCAUAAGCAGCUUUCUGGACCAGCAGGAAAUGCUCAGGCACAAAUCGAGGUCAAGCCUUUUACAAACACGUGACGCCGACUCCAGUAAAAACAAAGAUGACACGGCGACGUUGUCAUGAAACGGUGGAAGUGACCGUGACCUAACAAAGUGACCUAGCAAAGUGUAGAAGAACACAAAGCCAGAUGCAGCGGUACACAUGACCCGUAACACUGCACUGUAUCUUGUGGGUCGCCAACAACAAUCCUCAUCUUUGUCUUUGGCGAGGCCACGGAGACGUGGGGGGGAGGACACAACAGUGCACAGUAGCGAUAACAGACGGUGCACAUAGAGACGAGAAGAGGACAUUAUAACAGGGGGAGGAGAGGGGCAUUGUUGUGGGUCUUUUUUGACAAAAAUAGUUCCAACAAAAAAGGAAGUGAUUGCAGUCUAACACGGGGGGGUUCUACAUCUAAGAUGUGUUCUGGGAUCUCGUGAUUUGCAAACAAGGCAGAUGAACAUCCGUUGAAAAUGAAUUUGUGAAUGUGCGGGGCCCACUUCCUGACGGACGGGGAUUGAGUGCGUAGGACGUGUGUCCUGUUACACGGGACAAACGGCAUGAAAUGUGUGAAAACGAUUGCAGAUGAUGUCAUUGCACAACAUUCCCGUUUAACCUUGCUUCAACGUUCUGAUCAGGUCAGAAAAGGCCUACACUUUGUUUUUUAACAAUUAAACUGCUCGGAAAGUAUGGCUUGACUCACCGGGGCCUGCAAAAUGUUUGCAUUCUUUCCCCACUGUGCAAAGUAUUGACUGCCAUCUUGAUGGAGGCUUCACGACCUGGAAAAGAUAUUAAGCUGAGCGCGCAGAUAUGUGGUCCUCGUGAAGCCCUAAGGUCCGGACGUUAGUGGCCUGGAACCCAUGCUUGUGCAACAUUUCCACGUGUAGUCGAGGUCACACUGACCAAAUUCUUCAUUUUCCUCUAUUUGGUAAUGUCUCUCUUGUGAACCAAAUGUCUUUGAAAGCAACCUUUGGACCAUUAGACUGCAGCAAGGGGAAAUAUCAAUGGGACAGGAAUUUAAGGGCUCUGGGUAAAAUGGCAUCUUUCUGCUUGGAAGCAUAAGAAACCUGUUUUUCUUCUUUUAAACCCCUGCAUAGUAUUCAGUAUUUUACAGAGGCAGUUGUUAUUUUAAUCGUAGCAGACAUUUAUCUGUAAGGAUAAAUAUUAUUUGUACACCUACAUGUAUAGAACUAGGCUAUAGAGGAGGGUUGGGUCUGUAACACCUUUGACAUCUCUAAGUCAACUCGUGACGACCUUUCAAUCCCAUGAAGUAGGUGAAUAAGUCAAAUUGAGACUGAGCAGACUGCCAUGGAGACAUGGAGGUAAGAGCCAGACAGUGGUGGGAGUAACACAAACACUGGGCAGGCUUCUUCCAUUGCUGUACUGUGGAUCAGCUGAAGCAUUAAGUUCAUCUGAGGUCCGUAGUAGUAUGGCAGCACCAUUUGCUGAAUGUUUGGACUCGAAAGAAAUAAAACUUUG